rnacentral:lncRNA from 1 species
UACCUGGCUGUUGCCAGGUAACUGUGGGAAGGAGCUUACCUGGCUGUUGCCCGGUAGCUAUAGGGCGGAACUUAGACAGAACGCAACAUAGAGUAUAUAGCAGGACAAAACCAAAUAAAGCAAAUGAUGACUAUUACUAUAUCUUACCUUUACAUUUUUGUUGUCAAAAGUAUAUGAACAGAGUUUCAAACUUCAGGUUAACUUUUCGAUUCAGGAUGUUUUUACUCAUCUAAACACUGUUUUGAAACAAGUUCUUUCAAAAAGAAAAAAAAAGGUUUUGUUGUUUUGUUUUAUAAAUGUAACAAUGUUGCGAGGCCUCGGUUUUAUUCAGAGUGGUAUGUGUUACUAGCUCCGCAAUAAAAUGGAUACUAUUGUAUGGAGAUUCCCAACUUAGUGACUAAACUCCAUAGCUGUUACUUCCAGAAUCCUGCUGUGAACACAAAGUAACUCUCUGACUAAGAGUAACAGUCUAUAAACAAAAGAGCUUUUCUCUGCAAGUGUUCUCUGUAGAGGUUAUCUGGAGGAACCUGGACUCACAAUACGCCCUGUUGAAAUUGUGACUUUUGUUUUCUUUUUGUUUUACAGAAUUCUUUUAUUUUUCUUAACAAAAUCCAGCAGCAUAUCUCUUUUAAGGAUAAAUUUAUUGCAAAGUCUUGGAAGGCUCUUUUAAACGCAGUUUAUGGGAAAGGUGACAGUCUGCCAAGUGAUGAAAUGGUUAAGUUAGACCAGGUAAACUUAAUCAUGGCAUUUCUUUUUUUUUAACCAUUUAAUCAAUUGACAAUGUACGAUUAUUGAAGGGAUUUAUUUAAAUUAGAAUAAAGUAGAAAAUAUCGCUUGUUGGAUUGAAAAGAAGAGUAACCAAGCAAUGUUCAGAAUAUUGAAAAACACUGGUUUCAAUAUUUUAUUGGUCUAUUUCAGUUCAAAGCCAGCUGUACCACUUUGUAGCUGUGUGACUUCAAACAAGUUACUUAACCUCUCUAGCUCAUUUGUCUUAUGUGUAAAAUGUAGAGACUACUACAACUGGCAAAGGCUACCCUGCUUAUUAUGAGGGUUUAAUGUAUUGAUGCACAGAUGGUAUUUAGACAUCAAAGUAAUAGACUCAAUAAGUAAUAGUUAUUUCUCCUAACCCUGUGCAUUCUAUUCAAAUUGUAAUCCUGUGUUUAUGGAAAUGGCUUGAGAAUGGUCAGGAGAGUAAUGAUAAAACUUCAGCAGAAUUCUAUAAACUACCCAUAAAAGGAUAAUUUAGUUAGUUUUAUUAAUGCGGAAGUUCAGAUCUUAAGCUCAGUGCAAGUCACAUAUUGGAUUGUUUUCACCAUACAUAUGGUAUAUAUUGUCAAGCUUUAUUAAAAUCCAGUUUUAUGUUCCUACUGGCUCUAUAUUGGAUAAGUCUUCUUCCACUCAGGUUGUGAUUCUUGACCUGAGUAUAUAAUUGUCUCAUGAAUUUUAUUUUAGUAAGUUAUAUGUAACCUCUAACUUUUAAGUUAUUUUAUUAUCUUCAUUAUUUAUUAUUAUGCCCUAUUAUAAUUUAUUUUAAAAAGUUUCUGUGAUGCCUAGCCUAUUGACAUUGCAAAAUGGUGCAAUCAUCUACAAACGUAUUGGGCUGUAUUCAUGGCUAUCUUCAGAAGGGUGUGGUCUAUGGUUCCCAAGGCCAGCACGCUUCAUCAAGCCAUGAAGCUACAAAGCUGAUGGGCCUUAUAUACAUUUCGGUGAGUCAGUGUAUUUUUUUUUCUUUUUUUUUUUUUAGUCAUCUAUUUUAACAUUUUUCUUUAAGGACGGUCUUGUUCCUUUCUGUGAUGAAGGUGAAGACAGUGUCCCUACCCCUGAGGAAAACUUACCAGACAAUUUUCCAGAGCCAGAACAUAUUGUAGAGCAGACAUGGUGCCAUGUACUAGAUGAUGACUUAGUUGUGGGCGCAAAAGUCACAUCUUUGAAGGAGUAAGUACAUUUUCAUGUAAUAAUGCCACAGGGAUGCUGGAGACCAGCACUGCCUAAUAGACAUGUGCACAAGGCACGUGCAAUUUUCAUUGUUCUAGUAGCCUUAUUAAAAACUGAAAGAAAGGGUAAGCAUGUGUAUACAUACACACACACACACAUACAUAUACUAGAAGUAACUGCUGUAAGAAAAGUACUAUAAACUCAAGGCUUGUACUAAAAGAGUUAACAGUUUCCAUGUAUCCGGAAACACAUGAUACCACUGCUUUUCUGGCUUUGACUUAGAAGUCUCUCUAGGCUGGGGCCAUCGGACACUAACACAGCAAGCCUACUAACCCUGGCUUUAAUCCACAAUCCCAAAGUAAAUAAAUAAAUGAAUUAAAAAUAAAUACAUUUGAAUGAGAAAAAAAACUGAAAGAAAGCAAGUAGAAUUAAUUUCAAUAUUUGAUUGGGUCCCUUCUGCCCAAAGUUUCAUUUCAACAUAAUACUCAGG